rnacentral:rRNA from 1 species
AACGAACGCUGGCGGCAGGCCUAACACAUGCAAGUCGAACGCCCUAGCAAUAGGGAGUGGCAGACGGGUGAGUAACGCGUGGGAACCUUCCCUAUAGUACGGAAUAUACCAGGGAAACUUGGAGCAAUACCGUAUACGCCCGAAAGGGGAAAGAUUUAUCGCUAUAGGAUGGGCCCGCGUAGGAUUAGCUAGUUGGUGAGGUAAUGGCUCACCAAGGCGACGAUCCUUAGCUGGUCUGAGAGGAUGAUCAGCCACACUGGGACUGAGACACGGCCCGGCCUCCUACGGGAGGCAACAGUGGGGAAUAUUGGGCAAUGGGCGCAAGCCUGACCCAGCCAUGCCGCGUGAGUGACGACGGCCUUAGGGUUGUAAAGCUCUUUUGGCGGGGACGAUAAUGACGGUACCCGCAGAAUAAGCCCCGGCUAACUUCGUGCCAGCCGCCGCGGUAAAAC